rnacentral:rRNA from 1 species
AGCGAACGCUGGCGGCAGGCCUAACACAUGCAAGUCGAGCGGAUGACGGGAGCUUGCUCCUUGAUUCAGCGGCGGACGGGUGAGUAAUGCCUAGGAAUCUGCCUGGUAGUGGGGGACAACGUUUCGAAAGGAACGCUAAUACCGCAUACGUCCUACGGGAGAAAGCAGGGGACCUUCGGGCCUUGCGCUAUCAGAUGAGCCUAGGUCGGAUUAGCUAGUUGGUGGGGUAAUGGCUCACCAAGGCGACGAUCCGUAACUGGUCUGAGAGGAUGAUCAGUCACACUGGAACUGAGACACGGUCCAGACUCCUACGGGAGGCAGCAGUGGGGAAUAUUGGACAAUGGGCGAAAGCCUGAUCCAGCCAUGCCGCGUGUGUGAAGAAGGUCUUCGGAUCGUAAAGCACUUUAAGUUGGGAGGAAGGGCAGUAAGUUAAUACCUUGCUGUUUUGACGCUACCGACAGAAUAAGCACCGGCUAACUCUGUGCCAGCCGCCGCCGUAA